rnacentral:rRNA from 1 species
GAGAAGACUUUAGAUAUGAUCCAGAGUACCACGGGACACGUGAAACCCUGUGGGAAGCAGGAGGGACCACCCUCCAAGGCUAAAUACUACCUAGUGACCGAUAGCGUAUAGUACCGUGAGGGAAAGGUGAAAAGAACCCCGGGAGGGGAGUGAAAUAGAACCUGAAACCCUGCACUUACAAGCUGUGGAAGCACAUUUCUUGUGUGACCGCGUACUUUUUGUAGAACGGGCCAACGAGUUACGUUAAGUAGCAAG